GUGGUGGAUUAGUUGAAAAAAUGUUCAGCUGUAAACAAUAAAUUAUAAUACGGGAAUUCAUCAAAAAAGUAUUAGUAUUGCUAGUGGAAAUAAUAUAAACAGAAUGAAAUGUGCUGAGUUAAAAAAUUUUUUAUUUCUUUUAAUUGCUGUAGUUGAGAAAUAUGCAGUAUUUAAAAACUCAAUUAUAUUUGUAGUCAGCUGUAAUUUAGUGAAUAAUAACAUAUGAAACUCCUGCGAUAACAAUAAUAGUGAUUUGUUUUUUUAUUAAAUUUUGUUGCAACAUUUUUGUUAUUUUAAUGAUUUUAUUGUUGUUAAUACUACAAGAAAAAAUUUAGAAGCAAUGGGAAAACUUUGUUCCGUGAAAAGUUGUCCAAGUGGGCGAAAAUUAAAAAGCUAGAAAACACUAUGAAAUAAAGCUCUACCAACAAGAACAUCAAGAUCAAUAUGAGCAACAAGAAUUGUUACUUGAUUAGGGAGUUCCUUCUAAGUUAAUUCAUGUCAUUCAACAAACUGAACACAAUUUAGAUUUACCACAGUUGAAUCAAGAAACUCCCGAUGAUAUACAGAAUAUAAUGAAUGAAAAUAUAAAAUCACACUGCUGCGGUAAGGCUGUAGUGAGGAUGUAUUUUGAUAGACCAAAAGGACUGGAAUUUGUGCAGAUGAAUCCAUCAAAUAUGCAAAUUUCAGACUGUCUAUGAGUUAACAAGGAUUUAUCUAUUACUCUAAAUGUAAUUUUUUCUACCAAUGCAGAGCUGAAUAUAAAUGAAAACAUUAGUUUUUCCAACAGUAUCACUAACUACUUAAAAACAGUGGAAAGAUGGCUAAUAUGCGAUGGAACACAAAUUGACAGUCACAAGUAUGAUGUUUUUUUGUAGUAAUAAAUGAAUUAAGGGCUAGGACAAGUAAGAUUACAUAUAUUUUUUUUAAUAAUUAAAUUAAAUUUUAGGUUUUCAAAACUUAGUAAGUGUGUACUUUUUGUUGAUGAUUUCUAUAAGAGAAAUCAAGCAAAUCCAAGGUGUAUAUCAUUUAGAACUUUGUGUUAUUUUUAGAACUAUAAUUCAAAUUCAACUGCACUAGAAAGUACAAUUGUUUAAAAAAGAUGUACUUCUAAUCUACAAAAAUGAUGUAAACAUCUAACAAGAAUAGUAAGUUAAUAUAAUAGUUGUUCUGUAUUUACAAUUGAGUUAUAUACUCAAUAAGAUGAGACAAUUCUUUUUUACUGUACGCUAAUGAAUUUUACAAUUUAUAAUUAGUACAGUGUGUUUUGACAUCUGUAAGCAAAACUUCAACAAAUGUUCAAACCCUAAAUCAAAUAUCUCACGAACUUAAAAAAGAAAAUCUUAUUAAAGUUGGGUGCUUACAGCAUGAAAGACUUAACUCUUAAAGUUAUCGAUCUUUAUAAUGUAAUGAGGGCUCAUUUACUCACAAAAUAAACGCUAUGACGCAGCUAAAACAAAAACAAACUAAAAAAGCGCCAAAUUAAUUUCUUAAAUGUACUUUUAUUUAUUAAAAAAAAUUAUAUAGAGAUAUAUCUAAUUAAAAUAUAAAUAAAAAUUUAUAUUUUAAUAUAUUGUAAUGUUAAUAAUAAAGAUUUAUUAAAUCCUGUUGGACCCGUUUUGUUGACUUCUACAUUUAAAUAAUAAUUAUGAAACCUCUAUAACCUUUUUUCGGCACGGGGUUGCCUAAAUGAUUAAUAAUUUGUUAGUUACAAUUUUAAUUAUGUUUUUUUAAUUUCAGUAAUUCUUUAAUACUAUUUUCUAUUAGCUAUUUACAAAUAAUUGAGGUACUUGAAAACACCGAAUAAUAUUGUUCCAUACUUAUGUUUGUCUGUAUGUUAUAUUAAUUAAAAAAAAUGCGCCGUAACAAAGCGGAAAUUUUUCUUUCCUUUUUUAAGUUCAGUGUCCUACUCUAAUAGUUUAUAGGGCUCUUUUUAAAAUUCUUCCACAUGCUACUAUAGCGCUACCUUAAUUUGUCCCCUUUCAACAUACACUAUAAGAUGGUCCUCCUUAUUUCUACUGUCCAUAGUUAAUGAAUAUAAGAUAAAUGAAUUGAGAUUCCAUGAAUUACUUUUUAUAAUUUCGUUUUGAAUUAUAAUGACAUUUUUUAUAUACAUAAAGGGUGGUCCAACUAAAAAGCACGAUAUUAAUUGUAAAUAAAACAAAAAUUUCUCAGAUAAUUAAUUAUCUUAAUAUUUUUUAUAAUGAUGGAAGGAUCUAUGACAAUUAUGUGUGAAACAAAAUAUUGCCUAAAUGCUCGCCACGGCUUUGGUGGUAUAACUCUGUCCGAUGGUUCAUAUUUUCAAUGACUCUGAGACAUAAUUGAGGUUCAAUAUCGUGAAUGUAUCGAAUUAUCUCAUCCUUUAGCUCUUGAAUUGUUCUUGGCUUAUUGACGUACACUUUUUCUUUCAAAU